AUGAAACCCAUCUUCUCCAAGUGACACCAGGCAUUCCAGAAUAGCCCUGAGGUUAAAGCGACACUGAAUUUUUUUCCUUCUUAACUUUUCUUUAAGUCUUUGGAAAAGGCUGAAGAUGAGUUUUUUCCCUGGAACUUCUGCCAUUCUCAUGGCCCUCUGCUCUACUAUACCACAACUUUCUUGAACCAACAGGAUAAAUAGUUUAUGCUCCCAUUCUGGGCUUACCACUGAAUGGCAUAUUCUGAAAGAAGUUGCAGCAAAGAGUUGCCAUACUUGGAGAUGUUCUAUGGAGAAGCCCAAUGACGAGGAGCCAAGGGAAGCCUCCAGCCACCAGGGCCCUGGUCCAACAGUCAGAGAGGAAUGAAAUCCUGCCAACAACCACGACACUGAGCUUGAAAGGGAUUCCUUCCAGCCAAGCCUUGAAAUGACUGCCUCCUGGCUGACACCUUGAUUGCAGCACUGUGGAAAAAAACUGAGGCAGAUGUCACAAUGGGGCACUGGCUUCCUCAGAGGAGCUAACACAGGCCCUGCCUAUCUCACCCAAGAUAUUGUUUACAAAACCAAUUUUAUUUCUCUCCAAAGAACUAUACAAACCAUAUGAGAAUUUGUAGGAACA